UUCAUUGUGAGAAUUUGAUCUCGUAAGUUAUCGUAAAAGCUGUAUUGAUCAUUAACCCGGUUUUUGUGAAAUUCGUUAAAGUUCGAACCUCAUGACUACCGUUAAGGUUGAUUUAGGUUUUUCACCAAUACGUAUUCCAUUCUGUUAAACCACCAAAAAUACUCCCAACUACACCCUUACAAUCAAACAAACUAUUAAAUCAUCAGAAGAUCCAGAAUAAUAAAGUACAUGCUUAAUUAUCGGGAAAAGUAGAAUCAAGAAGUUUGUUAACUCAAUCCUGCAUGAUGAUUAGUAAUUACAAUAGAUUGGAGUAAGGAUUGGAUCCGACACUGAAGGACUUCAAGAAGUGGCUUAUUUUCAAAUUAAGAAAUAUUGUUUUUAUUAAAAGCUACCUUUGUAAAACAUGGAAUUUAUUCCAUCUUUUUAAAUAAAAUCAGGUGUUUCUAAACUCUGAUAUUUUUCCUAACUCACGGUCCUGAUGAAAUUUCCGCUGCAAUGUUUUUCAAAAUAAUCACCGGUACCACUGGACUGCUC
rnacentral:lncRNA from 1 species